GACGAACGCUGGCGGCGUGCUUAACACAUGCAAGUCGAACGGAAAGGCCCUGCUUUUGUGGGGUGCUCGAGUGGCGAACGGGUGAGUAACACGUGAGUAACCUGCCCUUGACUUUGGGAUAACUUCAGGAAACUGGGGCUAAUACCGGAUAGGAGCUCCUGCUGCAUGGUGGGGGUUGGAACGUUUCGGCGGUUGGGGAUGGACUCGCGGGUGAUCAGCUUGUUGGUGGGGUAGUGGCUUACCAAGGGUUUGACGGGUAGCCGGCCCGAGAGGGUGACCGGCCACAUUGGGACUGAGAUACGGCCCAGACUCCUACGGGAGGCAGCAGUGGGGAAUAGUGCACAAUGGGCGGAAGCCUGAUGCAGCAACGCCGCGUGCGGGAUGACGGCCUUCGGGUUGUAAGCCGCUUUCGCCUGUGACGAAGCGUGAGUGACGGUAAUGGGUAAAGAAGCACCGGCUAACUACGUG
rnacentral:rRNA from 1 species